rnacentral:lncRNA from 1 species
GGGAUAUCACCUUCUUCUUCCAGUGAUUCACAAUAUGAUUGUAAGCAAUCAUACUGUUUUCUUGAAAAUAGGGAGAGGAUGAACUCAAAGAGAGUCUCUAAAGAACAAUGAAUCACAGGAUCUGUACAAUCUAUUUAAGAUGAGCCAGUAUAUGUAGUAUCUCUUCCACCUUGUAUAUCUAGUAGGAUCUCCCAUCCUUUAAAAAGAUACUAGGUAUUCUUACAAAGGAUUCAGAGAAAGUAUUUCUUGAGGA